GACGAACGCUGGCGGCGUGCUUAACACAUGCAAGUCGAACGGAAAGGCCCUGCUUUUGUGGUGUGCUCGAGUGGCGAACGGGUGAGUAACACGUGAGUAACCUGCCCUUGACUUUGGGAUAACUUCAGGAAACUGGGGCUAAUACCGGAUAGGAGCUCCUGCUGCAUUGUGGGGGUUGGAAAGUUUCGGCGGUUGGGGCUGGACUCGCGGCUUAUCAGCUUGUUGGUGGGGUAGUGGCUUACCAAGGCUUUGACGGGUAGCCGGCCUGAGAGGGUGACCGGCCACAUUGGGACUGCGAUACGGCCCAGACUCCUACGGGAGGCAGCAGUGGGGAAUAUUGCACAAUGGGCGGAAGCCUGAUGCAGCAACGCCGCGUGCGGGAUGACGGCCUUCGGGUUGUAAACCGCUUUCGCCUGUGACGAAGCGUGAGUGACGGUAAUGGGUAAAGAAGCACCGGCUAACUACGUG
rnacentral:rRNA from 1 species